GAAACUUGGAUCUACAUAAAGAAGACAAAAGCAUCAAAGACGGAAUAAGUGCAGGACCUCAGCUGAUUGGAUGAUGCCCACCAUAUUGGGGGAGGAUCUUCCUCACCCAGUCUACCAACUGCCAUGCCAAUUUCCUCCAGAAACACCCUCACAGACACACCUGAGUAGCCGAAUCAUUCUAAUUGAAAGCUAAACCACCUGGAUUUUCCUUACAGCAGAAGAGGAACAAGGUCAGUGCCUACUGAAGCACUGAGAAUAAUGAAUGUUUUCCCAGCUACCUGGGUAUCCCUUAAUUCCGUCAAGUUGACACUUAAGUCAACUAUCACAAAACUUAAGAAAAGCAAUUUUUCUGAGUUAGGGAAUGUAAAGAGAAAUUGUAUAAAAUUAGCUUUUAGUUUUAAAAAAGGACGCAGAAAUAAAAGAGCCUAUCUCCAGCUGGCUGAAGGCCUGGGAAGAAAAUUAUCU
rnacentral:lncRNA from 1 species